GUAGGGUGCAAGCGUUAUCCGGAAUCAUUGGGCGUAAAGAGCUCGUAGGCGGUUCAGCAAGUCGGCUGUGAAAUUCCGAGGCUCAACCUCGGAACUGCAGUCGAUACUGCUGUGACUCGAGUCCGGUAGAGGAGAAUGGAAUUCCCGGUGUAGCGGUGAAAUGCGCAGAUAUCGGGAGGAACACCAGUAGCGAAGGCGGUUCUCUGGGCCGGCACUGACGCUGAGGAGCGAAAGCGUGGGGGUAGCAAACAGGAUUAGAUACCCUGGUAGUCCACGCCCGUAAACGUUGGAUACUAGGUGUGGGGUUCCGAUCAACGGUCCCCGUGCCGAAGCUAACGCAUUAAGUAUCCCCGCCUGGGAGUACGGCCGCAAGGCUA
rnacentral:rRNA from 1 species